UCUUCUAUAGGUUAUUAUUAGUAAACUGUCGAUUUGUGGUGUCGGAGAAUCUGGUUUGAUGGGGGAA
rnacentral:tRNA from 1 species